UACGUAGGGUGCGAGCGCUACUCGGCAUUACUGGGCGUAAAGCGUGCGCAGGCGGUUUCGUAAGACAGGUGUGAAAUCCCCGGGCUCAACCUGGGAACUGCGCUUGUGACUGCGAGGCUAGAGUGUGUCAGAGGGAGGUGGAAUUCCACGUGUAGCAGUGAAAUGCGUAGAGAUGUGGAGGAACACCGAUGGCGAAGGCAGCCUCCUGGGAUAACACUGACGCUCAUGCACGAAAGCGUGGGGAGCAAACAGG
rnacentral:rRNA from 1 species